AAAUUGAAGAGUUUGAUCAUGGCUCAGAUUGAACGCUGGCGGCAGGCCUAACACAUGCAAGUCGAACGGUAACAGGAAUCAGCUUGCUGAUUCGCUGACGAGUGGCGGACGGGUGAGUAAUGUCUGGGAAACUGCCUGAUGGAGGGGGAUAACUACUGGAAACGGUAGCUAAUACCGCAUAACGUCGCAAGACCAAAGAGGGGGACCUUCGGGCCUCUUGCCAUCGGAUGUGCCCAGAUGGGAUUAGCUAGUAGGUGGGGUAACGGCUCACCUAGGCGACGAUCCCUAGCUGGUCUGAGAGGAUGACCAGCCACACUGGAACUGAGACACGGUCCAGACUCCUACGGGAGGCAGCAGUGGGGAAUAUUGCACAAUGGGCGCAAGCCUGAUGCAGCCAUGCCGCGUGUAUGAAGAAGGCCUUCGGGUUGUAAAGUACUUUCAGCGGGGAGGAAGGGAGUAAAGUUAAUACCUUUGCUCAUUGACGUUACCCGCAGAAGAAGCACCGGCUAACUCCGUGCCAGCAGCCGCGGUAAUACGGAGGGUGCAAGCGUUAAUCGGAAUUACUGGGCGUAAAGCGCACGCAGGCGGUUUGUUAAGUCAGAUGUGAAAUCCCCGGGCUCAACCUGGGAACUGCAUCUGAUACUGGCAAGCUUGAGUCUCGUAGAGGGGGGUAGAAUUCCAGGUGUAGCGGUGAAAUGCGUAGAGAUCUGGAGGAAUACCGGUGGCGAAGGCGGCCCCCUGGACGAAGACUGACGCUCAGG
rnacentral:rRNA from 1 species